rnacentral:lncRNA from 1 species
GCCCCACAGUGACUUCAAUCAUUGGCUCAGGGCUGUGUCAGUCAGCGUUCUGGGGGUGGGGUUUGCGGGGCCGCUUUCGGACUGCCCAGCGCCCCUCACUUGCCCCUCGACCCCGCACAUCAUUUCACUUCUGGGCUGCGCCCACACCCCCCCAUCUUGGCGGAGAGAGCUUCCCGGGCCAUGAAGGAGGAGCGGAUCCGGGCAUCCUGGGCUUCCCCACUCCAGCUGCCUGGCUUCCUGAUAGAUGGUGAUUAUUAUAUAAUAGACCUGCUGGACAGAACCGUGCCAGCGCUCGGAACACUUUCCCCCUCCUCGAAGCCUGCCCCACAGCCUGGCACCAGCCGCACAGAGCCUGCUGCCCGGCUCUGCCGGCGCCCCCCAGCACCGCCUCCAUACCGGGGAGGGAGACCUCUGGGCCAUCUUCCCUGGUGGCCCUUGGGCCGUGUCCUGGGAUGGGGCGGGCGCCAGGCUGCGAGCCGGGCUGGCGCCCAGCAGGUCUCAGGGUCGGUCUGCGGAGUAUGGCUUCAACAGCACCACUCCAUGAUUGUGGGACCCACCUGGCUCCUCCAACCUGAACUUGGAACUUGGGAGCCAAUAAAGGAAUCCUUCUCUGACCAACGCCACCUACUUAUUCAUUCAACAAAUAUUUAUUGAGGACCUACUAUGUGCCAGGCUCUGGACUAGACAAUAGGUAUAUUUUGGUGAACAAGACAGAUGUGGUCCUUGCCCUCACAGACAACAAGUGAACAGUUGACUUCAAGUUGGCAUCAUGAAGGCUUGGGGAGCACUUCAGAGAUGCCUAUCCUGGACUUGGGAGUCUUGGAAAGUUUCCUGCAGGGAGCCACAUCUGAGCUGAGCCUCACUGCAGCCUAAGGUGCGGUUCUGUCCAGGCGGACAGUUCAUCUUGCUGGAGGUUUAAUGAUAGAACAAGAUCCCAGCAAGGGAUCUCACACACGUUAUGAGAGAGCUCUAAGGCUCCCUUCCCAAACUACCCAUUUAAAUCAAUUCUCCCAGUCCCAAAAGAAGGAAGACUGGGGGGAGAGUGAAGAGUCUGUGACCUUGGCCUAGUCACACCCUGUCUCUGGGCCUUAGUUUCUUCAAAUGUAGAACAAGAGGGUUGGAUGAUUUUAUCUCCAGGCUCUUUAUCAGAUAAGAUAGCAGUUAAAUAGCAGUGGGGGGGUGGGGUAUCGAGAGAAAGACACUCACCGAGCUCUGGUCUGCUUGCGGGGGAGGUCAGAGUUCCUAGGCUCAGGAGAGGCUAUCAGAGGCAGGGCCCCAGAGAAGGGCACACGCGUCACCUCCUACUCCUCACUGCCCAAGUGGUCUGGCAGUUCUGAGUCCUGGGAACGUUUACUUCUUGCCAUCAACUGAAGGCAAGAGCCUUUCUGAGAUUGUGCUGGGAGGGGUGAGCCUCAGGGGGACAACACUCACAGAAUAUCUUUAGUUACUGCAUUAACUUACUCUUCUAUGUAGCACUAUAGAGCUUUUAUUUUUCAGAGACGGAAGGUUCACAGCUGAGGAAACUGAGGCCCAGAGUGGUGAAAGGACUUGACUAAAAUCACGUGGUUGGGGAGUGGUAGCUGGAAGAGGUGCCCAGGUCUCCUGAUUCCAUGUCCAGACUCUUUCCACGAGACCACGGCAGCACUGGCGUCCAACUUUCCAUUGGACUGCUUCCUAUGUCUGGCUCCUUUCCCUGUGAGGCCAUAAGAUCUGGGAAGGCAGCCUUGGCCUCCUUAUCUGGAUGUCCCCCAAAGCCUGGUGCAGGGCUCCAAACAGAGGGAGGGGUGCUCAGAACUUCCAGCCUCCAGACCCCCCUUUUUUCUCUCAUCAUGACCCUAUUUAUAUGCAUGUAACUUUCUGGGCCAAUCUGAAAAGGCAUUCCUGGAUUGUGGAUGAAGCCCUGGGCCAGGCAUAUUCCCAGUCCCAGCCAGGCCUAAAGCCUGCUGUGUGACUUCCAACAAGCUGAUUAACUUCGCUGGGCCUCAUUUCUCCAUCUGUCAAGACACGUAACAGAUUCUAACUCCUAGGGCAUUUGUAACUCGAAAUCUCAGAUUAGGAAGUAGUUUUAAAAGGUAGAACUCUGAGGUAAGGGAAGAAGCUUAAUGUUUCAGUCUUUUUGCCAGAUCCCACAGCCUCAGGACCACAUCUAUUCCAUCUGCAGGGACUGGGGUGCUGCCUAAUGGGGCACCUACACCCUGACACCAUGCUGGAUCCUGUGAAAGUUAUAGAACCCUGAAUAUAUGUUAUGUAACCUGAAUAUAUUCUGGGGUCCCAUGCCCCAAAUACCAAAAAUAAUUUCAGAAAGGAAUCCCAAUUUUUACUUGUAUCUCUCACUUUCUUUUUUUGGUGAGGAAGAUUGGCCCUGAGCUAACAUCUGUUGCCAAUCUUCCUCUUUUUGCUUGAGGCAGAUUGGUGCUGAGCUAAUGUCUGUGCCAAUCUUCCUCUAUUUUUUAUAUGUGGGACACUGCCACAGCUUGGCUUGAUGAGUGGUGUGUAGGUCUGUGCCCAGAAUCCGAAACUGUAAACCAUGGGCUGCUGAAGGGAAGUGCAUGAACUUAACUUCUACACCACGGGACCAGCCCCUACCUAUGUCUCUUGAAGGUGAUCCAAUUCGUAACCUACAUCACCACUUGCUAAAAUUCCCUUUCCGCUUCUAUUCUGCUGCACCUUGCAGCAGUAGACUCACUCUCUGCAAAUCCCAAAUCUGCCCCCUCUCUGCCUCUCUCUCUGUCCUCCAUAGUCACCAGACCAUUUCUGUCUCUCUUUGCCACUGUCAUCUCCUUAUUUUGUGGAUUGGCUUAGCCUCUCGGGUUUCAUUAUUUUCCUUUUUCCUUCACACAUUACCCAGAUUCUCCCUAACACACAAGAAAGUUGCCCUUCACCUGCCUCUCUAGUCCUAUCUUUCACCUCCUAUUCUCCCAGUUCUGUAUCACAAAGUCCUGGAACUGAGCAGGCCAAGACAAGCUUUCCAACAACAGGUGAAGGAUAAAAUUAUCUCGGGCGUGAGGGGAGGCGGGGCAGAGGGAGUCUGAGAACGGUCAAUGAUGAAAAAGUUUUUAGUAACAGAUAAUACAGGUGCCUGCCCUCAAGGAACUUAUAAGAUGGAGACAAUUAAAGAAUGAUAAAAGAUGCUGAAUAAUUAAAAGAUGUGGACUCGAUGCUAUCAGUGCAGGUUGCGUUCUUAGUUAGACCUGGUGGAGAAAGAAGAAACUGCCCUGGGGUACAGGGGAGUGCAGAGGGCUCAGUGAGGGGCACAGAAAGAACAAGAGCAGGAGGCAUUGCAGAUCUUGGUGGGAAAGGGUCUCAAAGACCAGCUGCCUAGUUCAGAUUCUCUCGGGUGCUCAACUCCCUGCCCACAUCCCUGGCAAGCAGUUGGGGAGCUCACCGCCUCCCGAGGCGGCCCAUUCCAUUUAUGAACAUCUGUUUCUCCUUCUUUUGAGCUAAACGCUGUCUCCCAGUGGUCUCCACUUAUUAGUCCAUGCACUACCUCCUGGGGUCACACAACGUAAGUCUAUUUCUUCUUCCCCAUGAGAGUCCUUCAUGUAUUUAUGCUUUAAAGACUCCUGACUCUUCUCCUCCUCUCUGGCCUAAACAUUUCCAGUCCACAAACAGUCACUCCCACGAUGACACCUGGCCAACAGAGCAAAGCAAGACUAUCGAUUCUUUCCUCUAUUCCAAAUACUAUAUCUCUAUUACUGUGGCUUAAAAUUGCAUUUGCUUUUGGCAACCAUAUUACGCUGAUGACUCAGACUGAACUUACUAAAACCCCUGAAUCUUUUUUACCUGAACUGCUUCUAAGCCGUGUCUGGUCCCUUGUGCGUUGCUGAGGUCUUACAUAGAUCCCUGAUCAUUUCAUCGUGUUAGGUUUGCCUGCCAUUCUAUACAUGCAGAUGAUUUUUAGAUCCUUAUCCUGUCUUUCAAAGUGUUUACUAUUCCUCCAGGCUUAUAUCUGUGAGAUGUGAUACUAUAUUUUCAUAUAGGCUGUUAAUAAAAAUAUUCAACAGGACCAAGAUGAAGACAAAACCCUGAAGCACACAAAUGUUCUCCUGGUUGAGAAGUAGCAAGAUACACGGUGUUGUAGGUGGGAUGGGGUCAGAUCACAAUGAGCCUAAUGGAAGAAUAAGAAAAUAGGAAGCCUCGGAAGGUUUUUGAGUAGAAGAGUCUUAUGGAAGCAGGCUGGUAGAGUGAAAAACAAAACCAAACCCUAGGGGCUGGCCCGGUGGCACAGUGGUUAAGUGCGCAUGUUCCGCUUUGGCAGCCCGGGGUUCGCCAGUUCGGAUGCUGGGUGCAGACAUGGCACUGUUUGGCAAGCCAUGCUGUGGUAGGUGUCCCACAUACGAAGUAGAG